rnacentral:tRNA from 1 species
GGCGCUGUGGCUUAGUUGGUUAAAGCGCCUGUCUAGUAAACAGGAGAUCCUGGUUUCAAAUCCCAGCAGUGCCU